rfam:Schistosoma curassoni strain Dakar, Senegal genome assembly, scaffold: SCTD_contig0004919
AUCUAAUUGACGAGUCCCAAUUAAGACGAAACGUGCGUCAAGCUGGAU